AUUUAUUUACUGUGCCCCCCAGCCCUUCUGCAGUGAUAGAGGCUGGACUUCCCAGCAUGCUGUGGCAGCAGCCAUUUUUGCUAAGAACAUGUGCUCUGCUGUUACCCUUUUUCCCAGUUUUCAGCAAAAGUUGGUCCAAAGGGCUGGUCACUAAAACAGCAUAGUCACCAUGAGAUGCCAUUCCCCUUGCAUUAUUGGCUAAGAAAGAGAAGCGCCGAGAACAGUGGCGAGCCAGUCAAAAACAAAAGUGAGAUGUGGAGAAGACCAAAGUAAAUGAAGCUGAACUAACCAGAAAGAGGCUUGCAGAAUGUGACCGUGUGAGAGAGUGGAUUGAACAAAAGAAAGCUGAAGACCCAGAUGACUUCAGAGAGAAAAUGAGACUUGUUAAACAGAAAUAUCGAGCCAACAUGUCUGGUUACAAGCAGAGGUGGGUUCGACAGAAAGAUGCAACAGCCAAGCAAGUAAAGCGAGCUGAAGCCUGCAUGAAAAAGGAAAAGUCAGAAGCAAAAAGGAAACGGAACAUCCUGAAAGUGAAGAUGUGGAGGGCAAAUAGAAGAACACCAACACCUGAAACUUCUCCCUCACCUACUGAAUCACUCAAUUGAAAUGUGAAACCUCCUGUAUUUUAAACUGAAUUUACAUACCAAUUACUUGUUUUGAUUUAUAAAGUGUAUAUAUUUCUGAAAUUUACAGAACAAUAGCUUUCAUUUGAUAUACUGCACUUGUGUCUACUGUAAUUUUCAUUUUUAAGUCCUAAGGGGCCAAAUAUUGGGGCGUUCACUGUGCUUUCACCCUAAGGUGGUUCUGAGUUCAAGCCCAGCAGCAGGCAGGGGCCUUUCUGUGUGGAGUUUGCAUGUGGGUUUCCUCCGGGUUCAAAGAUAUGCGGUUUAUAUGGGAUGGCCUUGGGCUAAGGUGCCCUUGAGCGAGGCACCUAAUUCCCAAUUCUCAUUGCUCACGUGUGCGCGCACAUGUGUGUGUUCACUGCUUCAGAUGGGUUAAAUGCAGAGAGGAACGCUUGUGAAACACAAGCGUGUGAUGAAUAAAGUUGUUGUUGGUCUUCUCCUCCUCCUCAUUGUAUAUGGAAAGGCUAUAGCUGUAGCUCUCACAGCGGUGUCCUAAUAUACCUCCAUGAAAAGUUUAAAUAUACUGAAAAAUUAUAUAAGGAGUCAGAUGUAUGGGAUGGUUUAUUUAUUGAUGUAUUUGGUGCCUGCCUCCCCAAAACACUGACCACUGGAAGCAUAUACCAUCAUGCUGACGAUAGUAGUGUAAACCAGAAAAAGUUUCUACCAAUUCUCAAUAAUCUACAUAAAUCUGGAGGUACUUGCCGGAGACUACAAUAUCAAACUGAAUUCAGAUGAUUAUUCUCAUAAUUUCUUUGAUGAAUUAAUGAGCAAUGGUUUUUUUUUCCAAAAAUUACAUUACCUACCAGGUUUACAGGUGACAGGGAGUCACUUACUGACAAUAUUUUUUUUGUAAACUACCAGCUGAAAUCCAAGACACAGUCUCUGGCAUUUUAGUUGGUAGGAUGUCUGAUCAUCUAGCUUGUAUUACAGCUGUUGAUUUAUUGGUGAAGGCAAAAUCCUACCCCAAUAUUUUCUGAUCUAUAUUUAGGGAUAUGUCUGAAUCAAAACCUACAGGCCUUUGAGUACAUCAAGUCAGUUAACUUAUCAAGCAGACUAUAUAAGAACCCUAGCACUAAUCCAAAUGUUAAAUUAUGCAAUCAUCGCAGAUAUACUAAGAAAAGCAGUUGAUAAACUUAUCCCUCUGAAAACAGUCAAAUAUAAUAAACACAAGCAAGCAGUAUGGAUCACACAAGGUAUAAUAUCUUCCAUUAAAUUCAUAGAUUCCAUGUAUAAAAGAUUAAAAAUGACUGAUAAGGAAGCUGAAAUGCAUGCACUUUUCAAGCACAACCUGAAUGAGUAUAAUAAAAUACUAAACACGCUUAUUAAGCAAGCUAAAAGAGAUUACUACCACAAUCAAAUAAAUUUAAACAUAUUCGCAAAACAUGGAGGACAAUUAAUGGAAUUAUGUGCGGAAAAUCGGCUUCUAAUGGCUAUCCUACUCAUUUCAAAAUCUGUGAUAAACUUGUCGCGGACAAAACACAGCAGAAUAUCUCAGUAACUGCGUUGUUAAUAUAGGUCCAACUUUAGCAGGGCAACCAAAUUCUGCUGGUGGAAAACAUUUCUUCUUAUUUGAAAAACAAGACGACCUAUCAGUUUGAAUUCUCUAAUGUUACCAGUGCUGAGAACCACAAAACAAAAAGAUCAACAUUCCAAAACCAGCUUUGGUUAUGAUGAAAUUUCUGUAAAAACCCUAAAGUAUAUUUCUGAAAUCAUAAUAGACCCAAUAAUGCUCAUCAUAAAAUCAAUCAACAAUGGUAUAUUUUCUGACCUACUGAAAAUAGCUAGAGUAAUAGCACUAUUCAAAAAAGGUGACAAUGUAGUUGCAGAUAAUUAUAGACCCAUCUCCCUUCUACCUGCUAUAUCAAAAGUCUUUGAGAAGGUAAUGUUUAACCAAAUGUACAAUUACUUCAAAUCAAAAAUGCUUUUAUAUAAAAGCCAAUACGGAUUUCGUGAUGAACAUUCUACAGAAAUGGCAUCACUAGAAAUAAUUGAUAGAAUUCUAUAUAAUAUGGGUAAGGGAGAGGUCCCCAUAGCCAUCUUUUUGGACUUAUCCAAGGCGUUUAACACUCUUGAUCCUAGGUUUUCAAAGUGGGGGCCGCCAGGGGGCGCUAGGGGGGGGCCUCAGAAAGUUGGAGGGAUGAUAAAAAAAAUUGUGAAAAAAAAAUGUUUUUUAAAUAAUUAUUAAAUAUAUUGUAAUUAGUUUUUUAAUGAUUAUUAUAAAAUAUAAUUAUUAAUAAUACAUCAUAUCGAAACGUUGUUUGCCAUGCUCAUCUCUCCGAUUGCCUGUGACGUUGCGGUUUGCGCCAUUUAUCAAGCUGCUUUGCUCCUCAAGCUAGCGUAUUGCUAGCGCAAAAUGGACAGGUUUUUGAAGAAGAGACCGAAGGAACAAACCAACAGCCCUGCUGUGGAGGACACUGCUGCGAAAAAAAACUAAGAAGUCCUGGCCAACUAAAAUCCGAAAAUAUGAGGCAGCAUACAUUAAGUAUGGCUUUACAGCCAUACAGAAAAAUGGCCAUGAUUGCCCGAAAUGCGUCCUCUGUCUGGAGACCCUGUCAAACAAGUGCUUAAAACCUUCGAAACUUCAGCGUCACUUGGUACAAAAACAUCUGACAGAUGCCGAAAAAAACAGUAGAUUUCUUCAGACGCAAAGAAGAGCAUUUGGUCAGGCAAUCUGCUGCAUUCACCCAGCAAGCUACUGUCCCCGAGCGGGCCCUGAAGGCAUCAUUUUUAGCCUCGUACCACAUUGCUCGUGCUAAAAAAAACCUCACUCAAUUGGAGAAGAUCUGAUUUUACCAGCCACCAAAGACAUUGUCCGAGAAUUGCUUGGUGAGGAUGCUGCAAAAAAAAAAAAAAAUCGAUGCUGUCCCACUCUCUGAUAACACCGUGAGCCAACAGAUUGGUAACAUGGCUCAAGACGCAUCUGCUCAGCUGUUGGAGCAGGUGAGAGCCAGCGAAUACUUCGCACUUCAGCUAGAUGAGAGCACAGAUUUAUCCAAUGAGGCCCAACUGCUUGUGUACAUCAGAUUUAUUUCACAGGAAAGAUUUGUGGAGGAAAUACUAUUUUGUAAAGCACUUGAAAGAAGAACUACUGGGAAAGACAUUUUUCAAGUUUUGGACGAUUACAUCGAUGCCCCGCAUGUAGUGGCCACACACUGUAGUGGCCUCCAUCGCGAGGCACUGGACGCAAAAAGGAUGGAUAACGAGUUGAAUCAGGUACUACAGGAGGUUAUACAAGUAGUGAAUUUUAUUAAAGCCCGCCCCAUGAAACACAGACUGUUUACCCUGCUUUGUAAUGAGAUGGGCGCUCGUUUUGAGGGGCUGCUGCUUCACUCGAAUGUGUGCUGGCUGUCAUGGGGCGCAGUUUUGAACUGUGUCUGAGCUGCGGAGGGAGGUUGCAGAGUUCCUCUCAUCUGAAAAGCAUCAGCUGGCAGAUCAGUUCACCGAUGCAACCUGGAUCCGUAAAUUUGCAUACAUGUCAGACAUUUUCAAGCAUCUAAAUGUACUGAAUCAAAGCAUGCAAGGGCGUGACACGUGCAUACUCCAGGUGCAAGACAAAGUGUGUGCUUCUUCCAAAAAGAUCAUGCUGUGGUCAAACAAGCUCCAGGAGGGAGUUACAGAAAUGUUCCCACUACUUCACCAGGAGCUGCUAUCAUGUGAUGAUUUGGGCUCCGUCUCUCCAUUGAUCCAGUCCCACCUGGAGCACCUCCAAGGAUAUUUCAAAGACUAUUUCCCUGAGCUCGAAAACACACAUUUAAAUUGGGUUAGGAACCCCUUUGCCCCCGGUGUCGGUUCUAGUCUGGACUUAAAGUCACAGGAGGAGCUGAUUAAGAUGACAAACUCAGGGGAUUUAAAAAUGGACUUUUCGGCUCUUCCCCUGUCUAACUACUGGCUACAUGUAAGAAAGGACUAUCCCAGCUUGGCUGACAGGGCAUUGAAAUGCCUUCUCCCUUUUGCAACAACCUACUUGUGUGAGUCUGGCUUUUCAACUUUAAAGGUACUCAAAACCAAACAUAGAGCACGUCUACAUGUGGACAAUGACAUGCGUAUGGCACUGAGGGAGAUUAAGCCCAGGGUUGACAAACUAUGUAGGAGCCACCAAGCCCAUCCUUCCCACUAGUGUAAACCAUCUGUCACUCCCAGACACACACACACACACACACACACACGAGUGGUUUGAUUUCUUUUGUGCUGUUCUUAUCAACAGUUUGUUGAAAAGUUUAUUGUUCAGUGAGAAAAUAUUUGUGUUGAAAACAUGUUAGUUAAUAAUAUUCUUAUGCUAAACAAAUGUAACAAUUAUUGAAUAUUGAAUAAAAGUAAGAGAAAAUA